rnacentral:rRNA from 1 species
GACGAACGCUGGCGGCGUGCUUAACACAUGCAAGUCGAACGGUGAAGCCCUUCGGGGUGGAUCAGUGGCGAACGGGUGAGUAACACGUGGGCAAUCUGCCCUGCACUCUGGGACAAGCCUUGGAAACGAGGUCUAAUACCGGAUAUUACCCUUGACCGCAUGGUCUUGGGUGGAAAGCUCCGGCGGUGCAGGAUGAGCCCGCGGCCUAUCAGCUUGUUGGUGGGGUGAUGGCCUACCAAGGCGACGACGGGUAGCCGGCCUGAGAGGGCGACCGGCCACACUGGGACUGAGACACGGCCCAGACUCCUACGGGAGGCAGCAGUGGGGAAUAUUGCACAAUGGGCGAAAGCCUGAUGCAGCGACGCCGCGUGAGGGAUGAAGGCCUUCGGGUUGUAAACCUCUUUCAGCAGGGAAGAAGCGCAAGUGACGGUACCUGCAGAAGAAGCACCGGCUAACUACGUGC